AUGUUCCUGUUCCUCGUCGUUUUCUCUUUUCUUCAGAAUUGAAAGCAGCACUCAGUGGUGCUGGAGGGUUCAAAGAGUAUCUUUGUUGUCUCGAAACACCAUUUUUGUUCAUUUGAGAUUGAACAUUCUGUUUCAAUUGUAAGGAUUGACGGACAGUUUCCCAAGGAUUUUUAUUAUCAGACUGAGGUAACAUGGGAGGAAAGAGUAGUAUGGGAGCAGAUACAGCAUAGAAAUGGCAAUAUUGACCAAAUACCACACUCCUAAAGUGGCUUUCAUAAUCUCCAUUGAGGUCCAAUAAGGAUUUGAAAGAUUGAGAGUUCCCAGAAAUGCUAGCAAAGUCUCUUUCCCCAAUAGUAGGAGUUAGGUUCUCUGCUGAGGUGUUAUUGACAAGAAUUGCAAUUGCUGAACCCAAAGCAGCUUUACCCUCGUGAUUAGCACAUGAACAGGUUGAAUUGUUAACCACAAAAUGGUUCUCUUUGGAUUCUGACCUUAAUGUGCAGCCAAUUGCACCAUCAGUCAUUUUUCCAUAGGAU
rnacentral:misc_RNA from 1 species